CAGCCGCGGGCCAGGGUGCGAGCUGUUAAUGGAAAUUACUGGGCGUAAAGAGCAUCCAGGUGGUUGGUUAAGUCAGAUGUGAAAGCCCAGGGCUCAACCUUGGAAUCGCAUUUGAAACUGACUGACUAGAGUACUGUAGAGGGGGGUAGAAUUCCAGGUGUAGCGGUGAAAUGCGUAGAGAUCUGAAGGAAUUCCGGUGGCGAAGGCGGCCCCCUGGACAGAUACUGACACUCAGAUGCGAAAGCAUGGGGAGCAAACAGGAUUAGAUACCCUGGUAGUCCACGCCGUAAACGAUGGGGCUACUUGGAGGUGUGGGGACCAUUGAGCCACGGCUUCCGCGCCGCAGCUAACGCAUUAAGUAGACCCGCCUGGGGAGUACGGCCGCAAGACUAAAACUCAAAGGAAUUGACGGGGGCCCGCACAAGCGGCGGAGCAUGCGGAUUAAUUCGAUGCAACGCGAAGAACCUUACCAACGCUUGACAUCUUCACAGAACGUUCCGUAGAGAUACGGAUUGGUCCCCUUCGGGAACGCGUGAGACAGGUGCUGCAUGGCUGUCGUCAGCUCGUGUUGU
rnacentral:rRNA from 1 species